AGGCAUUUUCUCGAAUUCGAACAUCGGAUAUUUCGGAUUACUUUGCCACUUUCCACCCUUACCUACUCUCAUCGGCAGGAUCUGUCGCCUAAGGGCUCCAUUCUCUUGAAUUCAAAAUACACCUGUGUCAACUAGGUUGGCAGCCAAGGAAGUCAAGGCAUGCGCACAUGACAGUGAGCCUGGGUUCUCAGUCACUGGAACCUUCGUUGCUGCCACGUUUCGCGCGAGCAGGGCAUCUGUGUGCAUUUUUCAGAACUUGUCAUCAGAAUCAACCAUUUUCUGAGUGAAUUCAUUUACAAAAGGGCAAGAAAAAUGAAGAUGAACCGCCAACCCUGGCAUGUGGCAUCAAGGAACCUUUGUUGCAAUGCAUGUCCAUGGAGGCAGGUAAGAUGCGUCGACGUGCAGCCCAUCAGCUGUGCAUGCAUGAGUUCAGGACCAUCUUCAGAAUUAUUAAUCCAUCAGCUGGUGUUCAUUGCAUCCUCGAUGACCAUUUCUUUCUGCCACACAGUCCACUCAAUUGUCGCUCUGCUAAGGAGAAAUAGUCGCUCUAAUCUUGGGCCCGUUUUUUUUACNCUUACAUACAAACAAGUGAGUUAGCU
rnacentral:lncRNA from 1 species